rnacentral:rRNA from 1 species
AGUGAACGCUAGGGGUGUGCUUCAGGCAUGCAAGUCGAACGAGAAAGUUCUCUUCGGAGAGCGAGUAGAGUGGCGUACGGGUGAGUACAAAUUAGGUAACCUACCCUUUUGCUGGGGAUAACUAGAGGAAACUCUAGCUAAUACCGAAUAUCCAAUUUUUUCUGCGGAUUAAAUUGGGAAAGCCGAAAGGCGCGAAAGGAGGGGCCUGAUCCCCAUUAGCUUGUUGGUGAGGUAAAAGCUCACCAAGGCGACGAUGGGUAGCUGGUCUGAGAGGAUGUCCAGCCACACUGGAACUGAAACACGGUCCAGACUCCUACGGGAGGCAGCAGCUAGGAAUAUUGCACAAUGGAGGAAACUCUGAUGCAGCAACACCCCGUGAGUGAUGAAGGCCUUCGGGUUGUAAAGCUCUUUUAGUAGGGAAGAAAAAAAUGACGGUACCUACAGAAAAAGCACCGGCUAACUUCG